GCCGAAGUGGCGGAACUGGUAGACGCGCACGGUUCAGGACCGUGUUCCCGUAAGGGAUUGUGGGUUCGACUCCCACCUUCGGCA
rnacentral:tRNA from 1 species